UUUGAACUUUAUUCUUCAGGUAACAGAUAUUUCAAGAGUAUUAAGCAUAAACGUGGUGCAAUUCAGUGUGUUCUUUUAAAUAACCCUUUGCAGCUCUAUGUAGGCUGGACUAUAAUAGACAGAGCCUGAUGCACGAAGAUGAGACCCUGAGAUUGGACAAGGAAGACACACUGUGCCAGGGCAGCGUUCAGCCAUGGUUGUUUUAGAGACAUAAGCUCUAAGACAAGAGAGCCAAUUUGAAAUGACCUGGAGGUGCCAGAGAGCUGCACAGAAUCAGGAAAGGGCAGUCCCCUUACGAAGGGGAAAACAUACAGCAAAAACUAGAUUUCCAGUAAUACACAUUCCAAGGUGGUUGAC
rnacentral:lncRNA from 1 species